UACGGGGGGGCAAGCGUUGUUCGGAAUUACUGGGCGUAAAGGGCUCGUAGGCGGCCAACUAAGUCAGACGUGAAAUCCCUCGGCUCAACCGGGGAACUGCGUCUGAUACUGGAUGGCUUGAGUUUGGGAGAGGGAUGCGGAAUUCCAGGUGUAGCGGUGAAAUGCGUAGAUAUCUGGAGGAACACCGGUGGCGAAGGCGGCGUUCUGGACUGCAACUGACGCUGAGGCACGAAGGCCAGGGGAGCAAACGGG
rnacentral:rRNA from 1 species